rnacentral:rRNA from 1 species
GGGCGCAAGCCUGAUGCAGCCAUGCCGCGUGUGUGAAGAAGGCCUUCGGGUUGUAAAGCACUUUCAGUCGUGAGGAAGGUGGUAGUGUUAAUAGCACUAUCAUUUGACGUUAGCGACAGAAGAAGCACCGGCUAACUCCGUGCCAGCAGCCGCGGUAAUACGGAGGGUGCGAGCGUUAAUCGGAAUUACUGGGCGUAAAGCGCAUGCAGGUGGUUUGUUAAGUCAGAUGUGAAAGCCCGGGGCUCAACCUCGGAAUAGCAUUUGAAACUGGCAGACUAGAGUACUGUAGAGGGGGGUAGAAUUUCAGGUGUAGCGGUGAAAUGCGUAGAGAUCUGAAGGAAUACCGGUGGCGAAGGCGGCCCCCUGGACAGAUACUGACACUCAGAUGCGAAAGCGUGGGGAGCAAACAGGAUUAGAUACCCUGGUAGUCCACGCCGUAAACGAUGUCUACUUGGAGGUUGUGGCCUUGAGCCGUGGCUUUCGGAGCUAACGCGUUAAGUAGACCGCCUG